GUGCUUGCUCUGGCAGCACAUAUAUUAAAAUUGGAAUGAUACAGAGAAGAUUAGCAUGGCCCCUGCACAAGGAUGACACACAAAUUCAUGAAGAGCUAUCAU
ensembl:snRNA U6 U6 spliceosomal RNA